rnacentral:rRNA from 1 species
CACCGCCCGUCGCUACUACCGAUUGAAUGGUUAUAGUGAGCAUAUGGGAUCAGUAGAAUUAGACUGGCAACAGUCUUUCUCUGCAGAGAACUAUGGCAAACUAGGCUAUUUAGAGGAAGUAAAAGUCGUAACAAGGUUUCCGUAGGUGAACCUGCGGAAGGAUCAUUA